rnacentral:rRNA from 1 species
CGGCCACCGCUAUUGGAAUUCGAUUAAGACAUGCGAGUCGAGAGUCGUAAGGACUCGGCGGACCGCUCAGUAACACGCGGAUAACAUGCCCUAAGGUGGAGGAUAAUCUCGGGAAACUGAGAAUAAUACUCCAUAGAUCUAGAAUGCUGGAAUGCUUUUAGGUCGAAAACUCCGGUGCCUUAGGAUUGGUCUGCGGCGUAUCAGGUUGUAGUGGGUGUAACGGACCCACUAGCCGAUGACGCGUAUGGGCCUUGAGAGAGGAAGCCCAGAGAUGGACUCUGAGACAUGAGUCCAGGCCCUACGGGGCGCAGCAGUCGCGAAAACUUCACAAUGGGGGCAACCCCGAUGAGGGAAUUCCAAGUGCUAGCACUUCUUGUGUUAGCUGUUCUUUUGUCUAAAAAACAAGAGAAGUAAGGGCCGGGUAAGACGGGUGCCAGCCGCCGCGGUAAUACCCGCGGCCCGAGUGGUGGUCGAUAUUAUUGAGCCUAAAACGUUCGUAGCCGGUCUUGUAAAUCCUUGGGUAAAUCGGCCAGCUUAACUGUCCGAAGUCCGGGGAGACUGCAAGACUUGGGAUCGGGAGAGGUCAGAGGUACUUCUGGGGUAGGGGUAAAAUCCUGUAAUCCUAGAAGGACCACCGGUGGCGAAGGCGUCUGACUAGAACGAAUUCGACGGUGAGGAACGAAGCCCUGGGGCGCAAACGGGAUUAGAUACCCCGGUAGUCCAGGGUGUAAACGCUGCGGGCUUGGUGUUGGGGGUCCUUAGUGGGCGCCCAGUGCCGGAGAGAAGUUGUUAAGCCUGCUGCUUGGGGAGUACGUCCGCAAGGAUGAAACUUAA